rnacentral:misc_RNA from 1 species
AACUUUUAACAACGGAUCACUUGGCUCUGGCAUCGAUGAAGAACGCUGCGAAAUGCGAUAAGUAAUGUGAAUUGCAGAAUUCAGUGAAUCAUCGAAUCUUUGAACGCACAUUGCGCCCGCUGGUAUUCCGGCGGGCAUGCCUGUUCGAGCGUCAUUAUGGCCAAUCAAGCUCUGCUUGGCCUUGGGGCCCGCUGUACCGGCGACCCUUAAAAUCAGUGGCGGUGCCGUCUAGCUCUAAGCGUAGUAAUACUUCUCGCUACAGGGUCCAGCCGUCCACCCGCCAGAACCCCCAACUUUCUUAGGUUGACCUCGGAUCAGGUAGGGAUACCCGCUGAACUUAAGCAUAUCAAUAAGCGGAGGCU